rnacentral:rRNA from 1 species
GAUGCACUCUGGCGGCGUGCCUAAUACAUGCAAGUCGAGCGAACAGACAAGGAGCUUGCUCCUUUGACGUUAGCGGCGGACGGGUGAGUAACACGUGGGUAACCUACCUAUAAGACUGGGAUAACUUCGGGAAACCGGAGCUAAUACCGGAUAAUAUUUCGAACCGCAUGGUUCGAUAGUGAAAGAUGGUUUUGCUAUCACUUAUAGAUGGACCCGCGCCGUAUUAGCUAGUUGGUAAGGUAACGGCUUACCAAGGCGACGAUACGUAGCCGACCUGAGAGGGUGAUCGGCCACACUGGAACUGAGACACGGUCCAGACUCCUACGGGAGGCAGCAGUAGGGAAUCUUCCGCAAUGGGCGAAAGCCUGACGGAGCAACGCCGCGUGAGUGAUGAAGGUCUUCGGAUCGUAAAACUCUGUUAUUAGGGAAGAACAUACGUGUAAGUAACUAUGCACGUCUUGACGGUACCUAAUCAGAAAGCCACGGCUAACUACGUGCCAGCAAGCGCGGUAAUACGUAAGUGGCAAGCCGUAUCCGGGAAUUAUUGGGCGUAAAGCGCGCGUAGGCGGUUUUUUAGUCUGAUGUGAAAGCCCACGGCUCAACCUUGGAGGGUCAUUGGAAACUGGAAAACUUGAGUGCAGAAGAGGAAAGUGGAAUUCCAUGUGUAGCGGUGAAAUGCGCAGAGAUAUGGAGGAACACCAGUGGCGAAGGCGACUUUCUGGUCUGUAACUGACGCUGAUGUGCGAAAGCGUGGGGAUCAAACAGGAUUAGAUACCCUGGUAGUCCACGCCGUAAACGAUGAGUGCUAAGUGUUAGGGGGUUUCCGCCCCUUAGUGCUGCAGCUAACGCAUUAAGCACUCCGCCUGGGGAGUACGACCGCAAGGUUGAAACUCAAAGGAAUUGACGGGGACCCGCACAAGCGGUGGAGCAUGUGGUUUAAUUCGAAGCAACGCGAAGAACCUUACCAAAUCUUGACAUCCUUUGACAACUCUAGAGAUAGAGCCUUCCCCUUCGGGGGACAAAGUGACAGGUGGUGCAUGGUUGUCGUCAGCUCGUGUCGUGAGAUGUUGGGUUAAGUCCCGCAACGAGCGCAACCCUUAAGCUUAGUUGCCAUCAUUAAGUUGGGCACUCUAAGUUGACUGCCGGUGACAAACCGGAGGAAGGUGGGGAUGACGUCAAAUCAUCAUGCCCCUUAUGAUUUGGGCUACACACGUGCUACAAUGGACAAUACAAAGGGCAGCGAAACCGCGAGGUCAAGCAAAUCCCAUAAAGUUGUUCUCAGUUCGGAUUGUAGUCUGCAACUCGACUACAUGAAGCUGGAAUCGCUAGUAAUCGUAGAUCAGCAUGCUACGGUGAAUACGUUCCCGGGUCU